rnacentral:rRNA from 1 species
AUGCGGGUGAUUGCAUAUGGCGUUCUGGCUGACUAUGCCGAUGAAUAUCUUCGCAUUGGUGAAGAUAGCACAAUUGAGUCUGUGCGUAGAUUUGCGAAAGUGAUCGUCCGUGUCUUUGGUCCCGAGUAUCUUCGGGCACCAAAUGAAGAUGACACAAAGAAAUUGAUGGCAGCUAAUGAGAGGAGAGGUUAG